rnacentral:rRNA from 1 species
GCAUAAUCAUUUGCCUUUUAAUUGGAGGCUAGUAUGAACGGACAAACGAGAAUUUAGCUGUCUCACAGAAACGCCUAAAAUCUAAUAAUCAGGUGAAGAAGCCUGAAUAAUAAUAAAGGACAAGAAGACCCUAUUGAGCUCUACUGCUAACAAUCCGUAUUCAUAACAUCUAUAAAUUAGGCCAACUUAGCAGUUUGGUUGGGGCGACCUUUGAUCACUUAAAACAUCUUACAAUUACCCGGGCCACUCCCCACUAAAUCCCGCAUGGAAAUUGAAUUAGCUACCAUAGGGAUAACAGGCUAAUCUUACUAGAGAGCUCAAAUUGACAGUAAGGG